ACUUAAAUUGAAGAGUUUGAUCAUGGCUCAGAUUGAACGCUGGCGGCAGGCCUAACACAUGCAAGUCGAACGGUAGCACAGAGAGCUUGCUCUUGGGUGACGAGUGGCGGACGGGUGAGUAAUGUCUGGGAAACUGCCCGAUGGAGGGGGAUAACUACUGGAAACGGUAGCUAAUACCGCAUAACGUCGCAAGACCAAAGAGGGGGACCUUCGGGCCUCUUGCCAUCGGAUGUGCCCAGAUGGGAUUAGCUAGUAGGUGGGGUAACGGCUCACCUAGGCGACGAUCCCUAGCUGGUCUGAGAGGAUGACCAGCCACACUGGAACUGAGACACGGUCCAGACUCCUACGGGAGGCAGCAGUGGGGAAUAUUGCACAAUGGGCGCAAGCCUGAUGCAGCCAUGCCGCGUGUAUGAAGAAGGCCUUCGGGUUGUAAAGUACUUUCAGCGAGGAGGAAGGCGUUG
rnacentral:rRNA from 1 species